GGGAAAGGGAGGCAAAGUACCAGUCUGCAAAUUGCUAUAUCACCUGCGACAUACCAUGAAAGGGCUUUCUUUUUGAAGCACAGAAUGAAUAAGGAGAUGUGAGUCUGUAAUAUGCAAGUGGAGAAAAAAAAAAUAAAAGGACAAAAGCUCCCACUGCUGUUUCAAAGAAAGAUAUUUGCACCAAGAGUUGCUGACCUACUCCUGGUAGAAGAAAUUUGAGAGAGUUUGGCAGCCAAACCAAUCAUGUGUGCAAUGAGGAGAAUCUGAGGAUCAGGGACAGGAAAAGGAUGGCAGCCACCCUGUCUCCUGGACACUGUGGAGUGGGAUUCCCUCCACUGAAAUGCAUUUGAAGGACACUGAAACUGAACACCCUUUGGAUUCCAUGCUCCUACGGUUGGCAGCAGUGGGGUAUCGCCUAUAAAAAGAGGUAUAUAUACAAGAGAAUGAAAAAUGUCCACACAAAAUCUUGGAAAUGAAUGUUCAUAGCACCAGUAUUCAUAACAGCCAGAAAAGUUGUAAAACCCCAAAUGUCCAUCAACUGAGUCCAUAUGUAAGCAAGAUCACCUGGUACUUGUCGUUCUCUGUGUGACUUGUUUCACUCAGCAUAAUGCCUCAAGGUCCAUCCAUGUUAUCACAGGUGGAAAUAUUUCCUUUUUGGUGG